rnacentral:rRNA from 1 species
UGGGAAUUUGGCUUGCAGUCGAGCGAGGACAGUUUUGUAGCAAUACAAAACUGAGCCGAGCGGCGUUAAGGGGCAGUAAUGCGUGGGCAACGUACCCCCGGGUUCCGGAUAGCCAGCCGAAAGGCUGGGUAAUACGGAGCGACGUCGCGAGGAGACAUCUUCUUGCGACCAAAGAUUUAUCGCCCGGGGAGCGGCUCACGUCGUAUUAGCUAGUUGGUAGGGUGACGGCCUACCAAGGCGAAGAUGCGUAGCGGGUGUGAGAGCACGACCCGCGCCACUGGCACUGAGACACUGGCCAGACACCUACGGGUGGCUGCAGUCGAGGAUCUUCGGCAAUGGGCGCAAGCCUGACCGAGCGACGCCGCGUGUGGGAUGAAGGCCUUCGGGUUGUAAACCACUGUCGUGGAGGAGGAAAGCCGUCAAACCGGCUUGACCUAUUCCAGGAGGAAGCACGGGCUAAGUUCGUGCCAGCAGCCGCGG